GCCGCUAAAGCUCAGUCGGUAGAGCGACGCAUUCGUAAUGCGUAGGUCGUCAGUUCGAGUCUGACAUUCGGCU
rnacentral:tRNA from 1 species